rnacentral:rRNA from 1 species
UACGAAGGGGGCUAGCGUUGUUCGGAAUUACUGGGCGUAAAGGGCGCGUAGGCGGCCUGUUUAGUCAGAAGUGAAAGCCCCGGGCUCAACCUGGGAAUAGCUUUGAUACUGGCAGGCUUGAGUUCCGGAGAGGAUGGUGGAAUUCCCAGUGUAGAGGUGAAAUUCGUAGAUAUUGGGAAGAACACCGGUGGCGAAGGCGGCCAUCUGGACGGACACUGACGCUGAGGCGCGAAAGCGUGGGGAGCAAACAGG